GAUGAACGCUGGCGGCGUGCCUUAGGCAUGCAAGUCGAACGGGAAGUCUUCGGACUUCUAGUGGCGGAAGGGUGAGUAACGCGUAGGAACGUACCUAUUGGUGGAGAAUAGCUCGCCGAAAGGGAUGCUAAUACCGCAUACGCCCUAAGGGGGAAAGCAGGGGAUCUUCGGACCUUGCGCUAAUAGAUGAGCCUAAGUCGGAUUAGCUAGUUGGUGGGGUAAAGGCCUACCAAGGCGACGAUCUGUAGCGGGUCUGAGAGGAUGAUCCGCCACACUGGGACUGAGACACGGCCCAGACUCCUGCGGGAGGCAGCAGUGGGGAAUAUUGGACAAUGGGCGAAAGCCUGAUCCAGCAAUGCCGCGUGAGUGAUGAAGGCCCUAGGGUUGUAAAGCUCUUUUACCCGGGAUGAUAAUGACAGUACCGGGAGAAUAAGCCCCGGCUAACUCCGUGCCAGCAGCCGCAGUAAGAC
rnacentral:rRNA from 1 species